rnacentral:rRNA from 1 species
UAAUACGAAGGGGGCUAGCGUUGUUCGGAAUUACUGGGCGUAAAGGGCGCGUAGGCGGCUCUGUGCGUCGGGCGUGAAAGCCCUGGGCUCAACCCAGGAGUGGCGCUCGAUACGGCGGAGCUCGAGUGUGGGAGAGGAUGGUGGAAUUCCCAGUGUAGAGGUGAAAUUCGUAGAUAUUGGGAAGAACACCGGUGGCGAAGGCGGCCAUCUGGACCACAACUGACGCUGAGGCGCGAAAGCGUGGGGAGCAAACAGGAUUAGAUACCCUGGUAGUCCACGCCGUAAACGAUGUGUGCUAGACGUUGGGAGACCUAGUCUCUCGGUGUCGCCGCUAACGCAUUAAGCACACCGCCUGGGGAGUACGGCCGCAAGGUUA